UGAAGAUCAAAAACGAGAACUCAAUGAUACACUCUCCGUUUAAUUCUUCAAUUCUCUCUCACUUUCCCUCACUUUAUCGCCAUCCAAAUACUCCUCCUAUUGCACUCUGAACUAAAUUUGAGCGGGAAGGAAUCAGUUUGAAGGUUGAAGAUAAACCAGUCAAGAUGCAAUUAAAAUCCAGUCUAAAACCCAAAACAUUAAACCACCGAGGCUUCAAGGAGGAUUAACGAGUCGUUUCAUAUUUGAUUUUAAUUGUAAAGUAAUACGGUGUCGUUUUAUGUUAAGUUUUUUUUAACAUUCAACUGAAAUGUUGUACAGUAAACGUAAAUAAAACCAAUUUGGAGGGCAAAGGACAGGACAACUUCAAGCUGAUUCUUGUUAAACUAACUCGAGUCCACAAAAAUCAAAGGCGUUCUUCCAUUUUUUCGCUGAAACGAAGAUUAGCUCACAUCACCUCCACAACCACACUUAUGAACUGCCGCAUUCAGGAUCCCCUGGGCGCCCUCUGCAGAGGCAGCAAUGCCGUCCUAAGCCGGUUUGGAACCGAGUGUCCGUCACUGACCUUAUAAAGUCCGAAACCAUAACCCUCUCCGUCCAAUCAGCGUCUUAGGUCUGUCGCCUUGCCGUGUCACCAGAGGGCUUGUUUCUCUUGACUGUCGAUGAGAACCAGCGGUGUCUCUUCAUUAACCUACACGCCACGAGGUCCUCCAACGUGUCAAAUUCAUGUCUCCCGUCAAUACAAUUCAGUUUAGUCCUAAUGGAAAAUAUAUCGCCGUCGGCACAGGUAAAUUAGUAAAGAUAUGGGGAUCACCAGGCUUUAAGAAGGAAGAGUUUCCCUUUGAGUUUAAAGGGACUUUUGCUGAUUGCAAUGAUAAAGUUACCACAUUGAAUUGGAGUCCUGAUUCUAAGUAUUUGCUUGUGAAGAUUCAGCUGCAAGAUUGUUUUACGCAAAAGAAAUAUUAAAGGGUGUUUAUAGCAAUAAGCCUUUUUUACAUUUAGGUCACAAAGACUCAGUUGUGGGUUGUUUUUUUAGGAUUACUUGUGGUAAACAAAUUUUUAUGAUUACUUUUGAUUGUUAUAUAUUUAGUUGGGGUUAUAGUGAAAGUCAUGGUAAAACUGAUGAAUUUAGACAGGAAGAUUCGGAACCUCCAUAACCAGGAACUCGAGGGAGGGAGAGCGAUGGAAAGAAGUGGAAGGAUUUUGAUGGGAAAGAUGGUGAUUUAGGUGAAGAGGAGUAUCUGCAUAAGCAGAAAUGGGAGUUAUUGAGAAAGCAUGAUUUUCCACGGGCACCUGGUAAGCUAACAGCAUGUGAUUAUCAUAGGGGGCUUGAUAUGAUGGUUGUGGGGUUCGCAAAUGGUGAGUUUGGUUUAUAUCAGAUGCCAGAUUUUGUGUGUAUACACUUGUAUUCAAUUUCAAUGAGCUAGGGAAUUGGUUGAUAUUUGAGUGUGCAAAGCUAAGACAGUUGCUUGUCUGGGAUUGGCAAUCAGAGAGUUGUAUAUUGAAGAAGCAGGGGCACUAUUCUGAUGUUAAUUUUAUUUCAGACUCACAACCAUUGGCCAGUGGUGCAGAUGAUAACAAAGUCAAGGGCUAAGGGAAGAAAUAGCAAGUGAGAGGAAAUGCCAGCUGGAAGGGAAGGUGUUCCUCAGGAAUCAAGGGUAGCAGCUGAGUGUUUGACAAGUGGCAGCCUUCUUGCUUAUGGAAUCAUUGAAACGGCUAUGCAAUUUGUAUAAAAAGAGGGAGUGUUGAGUGAAAGUGGCAAGGGGUAUUUUUGAAGAAAACAUUUCUAUUGAUUGGGUUUAUAAUUUUCUUUGUUUUGGGGAGAACUGGCCUCUUAUUGUUAGUGAAAUAUUUUUUAAUUUCUGCUAUUUUACUUUCUGUUCUUUUAUGCUGGUUUUCUGUAUCAUUUUAUAAUCUCUUUGUAAUGGAUGUUCAGAUGAUAAGUAAUGAAAUUGUUGAUGAGUAUUACCUUA